AUUGAACGCUGGCGGCAGGCCUAACAAAUGCAAGUCGAACGAGUGGCGGACGGGUGAGUAAUGUCUGGGAAACUGCCCGAUGGAGGGGGAUAACUACUGGAAACGGUAGCUAAUACCGCAUACCAUCGGAUGUGCCCAGAUGGGAUUAGAUUGUAGGUGAGGUAACGGCUCACCUAGGCGACGAUCCCUAGCUGGUCGGAGAGGAUGACCAGCCUCACUGGCACUUAGACACGGUCCAGACUCCUACGUGCGGCAGCAGUUGGGAAUAUUGCACAUUGGGCGCAAUCCUGAUGCAGCCAUGCCGCGUGUAUGAAGAAGGCCUUCGGGUUGUAAAGUACUUUCAGCGGGGAGGCGUUACCCGCAGAAGUAGCACCUGCUAACUCCGUGCCAUCCGCCGCGGUAAUUC
rnacentral:rRNA from 1 species